CUUCGGGCCCGCCUACUGCGUCAUUCGAUUGGCUGACACACCCUUUCGAACCGCACACGGUCACGCCCCUAGGCUUGUGAGUACAAUGGAUUGGGUCCUAGCUCUCUUUACGUCAUCCCAAGAGCAGCGCAUAAGUUAGGUCGAGCCUCAGGGGUUCGUUGGCUUCUGUACUCGUUGGAACCGGUUAGGGAGAGGACGAGGGCGGGACUAAGAUCGACGGCGCCGAUUGGAGCUCUUCUCCUGUGACAGCUGAACUUCUUCCUGUGGAAUCAGAGCCUAGAACUUGUGUAGCUAGGAAGUUUUGACCUGCCUAGUUCCUCUCAUUUGGAGCAAGCCUCUUUUCUUGCUUGCCGCCAUUGUGGGCUUAAGGGGUUCCCCCUCCAUACCCACGCAACACCUGAGCCAGAGAAAGAAGAGGACUUGGGAUGAUGUGUUCAGCAAGAUCCUGCAAGCCAGUGCUGCAUUGUACCUUGAGAAGAGGGCCUAGAGUGUGAAUAUUUCAGUGUGUAAGAAGAAGAAAAGAGCAGACAGGAGAGAGUCCCAGCACAAUAAGGAGAGGAAGAUGCAUGAGGACAUAAUGGGGCUUCUCUGGCAGCUAUCACAGAUGCUGCACACUCUGUUAAACCCGUAGGUCGUCAAAGCAUGCCAUCACCUCUCUUUGUAGUUCCUGGAGAACUCAGUUUUACCACUUCCCUACAUCCUCUCCCCAUAACAUUCUAUGUGGCAGCGGGGGCCGCAUCUUUAUUCUUACCACUCCACACCAGGGGAGAGUAAGGACAAUCACAGCUUCACAUACCAUGACCUUGAGAGCCACGGUUGCUGUAUGUGUAACCAAAAUGGAUAUGAAUGUUCUUUCCCCCUUGUUAAGUUCUGUCCAUUAAUUUAUUAAGUUUUUAAUGUAUUUGCUCUUAAAUUUAA